rnacentral:rRNA from 1 species
ACUCCUACGGGAGGCAGCAGUGGGGGAAUAUUGGACAAUGGGGGAAACCCGUAGCAUCCAGCCAUGCCGCGUGUGUGAAGAAGGGCCUUCGGGUUGUAAAGCACUUUCAGUGGGGAGGAAAGGUUGUUGGUUAAUACCUAACAGCUGUGACGUACCCACAGAAGAAGCACCGGCUACUCCGUGCCAGCAGCCGCGGUAAUACGGAGGGUGCAAGCGUUAAUCGGAAUUACUGGGCGUAAAGCGUGCGCAGGCGGUCUGUUAAGCGAGAUGUGAAAG